rnacentral:rRNA from 1 species
UGGGGAAUAUUGCGCAAUGGGGGAAACCCUGACGCAGCGACGCCGCGUGCGGGAUGAAGGCCUUCGGGUUGUAAACCGCUUUUGAUUGGGAGCAAGCUUUCGGGUGAGUGUACCUUUCGAAUAAGCGCCGGCUAACUACGUGCCAGCAGCCGCGGUAAUACGUAGGGCGCAAGCGUUAUCCGGAAUUAUUGGGCGUAAAGGGUACGUAGGCGGUUUUUUAAGUCAGGUGUCAAAGCGUGGAGCUUAACUCCAUUAAGCACUUGAAACUGAAAGACUUGAGUGAAGGAGAGGAAAGUGGAAUUCCUAGUGUAGCGGUGAAAUGCGUAGAUAUUAGGAGGAAUACCGGUGGCGAAGGCGACUUUCUGGACUUUUACUGACGCUCAGGUACGAAAGCGUGGGGAGCAAACAGG